GGCCAUGUAGCUCAGUGGUUAGAGCACUGGACCUAGAAUGUCUGGGGGUCUUGGGUUCAAUCCCCAACAUGGCUA